AGCUUUAGCUCUUUUGUCUCUACAAAGAUCAACUAAAAUAAGUAGCAAGUCCCCCUUUUCAAUGCAUUUAGAAAACCCUUCCGUUCUCAGGCUUUGGCUGCACAUCAUAAGGAGGAUAUUUCAGAGUGUUCACUGGUAUUUUAUGUGGCUUUUCAGAUUUUACUAUUUAUGGCUAACUUCAUAUGUUAACGUUAUUGCAGUAUGCCCUAUUGGCCCAUUUUGUUAUAACAUGAAGUGGGUGUAGCCUUCUGCGCCUGUAACAAUAACAUCCAUCCAUAUCCUCAUGGCUUCCGGUGUAGGAGCGACCAUAUAGUAUAUUCGGUCGUGUGUCUUAACACUGAAAGUAAGUAGUGGGUUGGGACUCUUGUAUGCAUUCUUCAGAUGAUCAUAAUAGACUUCCUCAAUAGCUUGAAAAUAAAUUACACCUUUUAAUUUAGUUUCGUGUUUGUCUGCGUAAUACGUAAAAGUUCUCUUGUUUCUGUCAAAAACAAACCAUCGUUUUUUCCAUGUUUUAAUUUUUCCUCCCAUCUUAAUCAGAAAGCCUCGGCAGGUCUUCUCUGUGAGGGAGACGUGGUAACAGGUCUCUAUGUUGUGACCAGCUGUUUCAAUAUGACUUCGUAGAUCAAAGUCUUCCUUUCUAAUGGGCAAAUAGCGAGUCAAUGGACGAGCCUGUGCUCUUUGUUUCUCUCGUAUCUUCACUUCCUUUUCAAUUAGUUUUUGCCUUUGGCUAGUUUCUUCUUCCAGUCUUUUUUCCAGUUGUUCUCUACGGCGUUUCUCUUCUUCCAGAGCUCGCUUUUUAGCUUCCAUCUCCCGUUCCCUGGACUCAAGCAGCC
rnacentral:lncRNA from 1 species